CACAUUCCAUUUAGAGGACUGAGGUCAGAGUCCCACUCACACAGACAGGCUGGUUAUGGGUUGUUGUGCAGCAGGAUAGAAUUGGAACGAGGCCCUUAUAAUCAGGACACCUGGGUUUUUGUCGAAAGUGCCUCCGAGAGGAAAAAUGCUGUGACGUCUGUGAAGAUAAAUGUAGCUGAAGAAAGUUAACGGGACAGGCAAUUGUCUCCAUAAAAAUAAUAAUAAAAAAAAUCACGAAUUUUGACACGAGAAUGGAAAGAACACAAAGAAGAGACGAGCUGCUCCUCACAGCACAGAGGCGUUGUGCUGUCAUGUGGUGGUUGAAUACGACGGACUGAGGACCAUUUUGCAGAUAAGGAGGAGCAAAUCUCCGCCAAAAAAACUACAGAUGUGUAACAUGACCAAACCUGAACGCUGCAGGUUGCUGCGAUGACGCCAUCCACCGGCGUCUCAGAGAACGGGUCAAACGUUCUGUCGGAUCGUCGCAUGAAGUCUGGUUUCAGCAGUUUUACCCUCUAAAGCUCCGCCUCCAGCUGUACACAUGACACACAGCGGGCCAUAUGGUCGAGCCCCCGUGCCUCAGGACACCAGCUGCUCAUCAACAGGCAUCACUGACACACAGGUCGACAGGAGGAAACUUUACAGGCUGUUCAGCAGACAACCUCUUAAAAUCGGGUUGUUUUCUACCGUUCUACCCAAAGCAGGCAAAAAAAAAAACUUAAUUUAUUAAGUUAAUAAAGAUGUUCUGAGUCAGGUUGUGGACUGCUUGGACUCUCAGGAGUUUUUCUGCUGCUUGGGGUGAAUUUUGAGUUUUAAGAGCCUCAAACAUAGAAAUCUGCCAGUUUGCCUUGCUCUUAAUGGACAACCAGAAACCUCUUACAGUUCGUGUGUGUGUGUGGCCUUGUUUUUCCUACAUCGUGGGGCCCAGUUUUAAGGAAAAUGAAGCCUCGUGGGGAC